CAGUCGCCACGGGAAUACGAGGGGGGCAAGCGUUGUUCGGAAUUAUUGGGCGUAAAGGGUGCGUAGGCGGUUGUGUAAGACAGGUGUGAAAUCCCCGGGCUUAACCUGGGAACUGCGCUUGUGACUGCACAGCUAGAGUAUGGCAGAGGGGGGUGGAAUUCCACGUGUAGCAGUGAAAUGCGUAGAGAUGUGGAGGAACACCGAUGGCGAAGGCAGCCCCCUGGGCCAAUACUGACGCUCAUGCACGAAAGCGUGGGGAGCAAACAGGAUUAGAUACCCGAGUAGUCCCUGUCUCUUAUAA
rnacentral:rRNA from 1 species